rnacentral:lncRNA from 1 species
GAGAGAGAGAGAGAGAGAGAGAGAGAGAGAGAGAGAGAGCCAGCAGAGAGGACAGGAGCAAUUAUAACUGCUCAUCUGAGAAGGCUGUUCCUUAAGGGGCACAGAAUCUGCUGUUGCUCUAAAAACAUUAGCCAACAUUUAUGUGUGACAAGUUACCUCUAGCUGGGGUAGCUUUAAGCAUAUUCCAGUUAACUUGCUUCAUGCUCACCCAGACCUCCAAAGUUAGCUUUUUUUUCCAUGUUCCAAAUGAGGAAACUAGGGCAUAAAUUGAUUUAAUGACUUCCUCAAGGUCAUACUGAGAGUAGAUACUUAGUUAUCUGUUAUUGCCAACACGAUUGCUACACAGUUAGCAGCUUAACCAACCCUCUGCCCUUAUCUCCCAGGGUCUGAGAAUCAGAAUCUAAAGAAUCUAGCUUAGGGCCUCUCAGGAGCUGCAGUCCAGUGGUCAGGCAGCACUGAAGUUUCAUCUGGGACACCAGCAGGAAAGGAUCUGUGGCUGUCGGCAGAUGGCUAUUCCUGCAGUCGUGUUAGAGUGACAGCCUCAGGACCCAGUGACUGUUGGCCAGAGGCCUCCUUGGCCUCUUGCUUUUGGGUCUCUAUGUGAUCACUUACAAAUACCACCUGUGUCCUCAGAGCCAGUUAAAGAGGGCACCUGCUCUAAGGAAAGCCAGUCUUGCGCACCGCCAUUGUGCACAUGGCAGCUCAUCAUAGUUGCUGUGUUGAUUUAUAAGAAGCAACAAAGCCCCGUGCAUGCUCGGGAACAGACAGUACUGGGGAGCCACGGUCUCUGUAAAGGCUCCUCUGAAUCUGCCAGAUAAUGGCCUGUAUCCGAACCCAGACAGCUUGGCUUCAAAGCCCUGCAUCACUAAGUUUGCUUUAGCCUUGGCAAACACCCGAUAAUGGUGCCUUACGGGAGAACAGGUUUGUUCUGGUCUGUUAUGUGGAGCGGCUUUCGCCUUCAGUCCGUAGUAGUGCAGUAGGUGUGGUGACAGGAGCUCGAUGCAGCUGCUCACGUUUUGUCCCCAGAGACUAGAAUGAAAAAAGAUGAAUACAGGGGCCAGGCUGCCUUCUCCUCUUUGCAUAGUCCAGGAACCAAGCCUAUGGGACAAUACUGCCUACCUUAGAGUGAGUUUCUUGCUUCAAUUAUUCCAGCUUACAAUCUACCUCACAAGCAUGCCGUUCAUUUGUUCCCAUGGUGAUUCUAGAGCCUGUCAAGCUGGCAAUCAAUAUAAACCAGCACAGCCUCCGGAGCUAACCAUUGUGCUCCCCGGUAGCUCUAGUGUUCCAUUGCUGUGAGAAAUUAGCCAAGGCAAAGGAUUCAUGGAGGGAAGGGUUUGUUCCAGUUUCAGAGGUUUCAGUCCACGGCGACUUGACUGUCAUUGUUUUGCAGCGGUGAAGAGGGAGUUCAUUUUCUGGGGAGCAUGGGAUAGAGAAAACCGCUCAUAUCGUGGUGUCCAGGAAACAAAAGGGCCCCGACACCCCCUUCAAAGGACCUCCAGUGACUAACUCUCUUCCACUGGACUCUACCUCCUGUGCUUAAGGAGAGGCAGAAACAUACUACACAGCGUAUGCUGGUUAGCAUAAUAAUAUAACAUGGCAUUCGGAAGUGAGGGAUGUUGCAUGGUUGUGGUUUAAGUAUGGAGUGCCCACCAGCUCAUGGUACUGCUCUGGAAAGCUGUGGAACCUUCAGGAGGUGGAGUCUCACUGAGACAGUGGGUCAGUGGGGCUGAAGUGGUAUGGUUUUAUAACCGGGUCCUUCUGUCUGUCUUCUGUCCGCUUUCCUGACUGCUGGCACAGUGCGACCAGUCGCCUCAUGCUCCUUCAGGCGCGCCUUCCCUGCCAUAUUAACUGUAAGCCACCACAGAUAAGAGAGAAGUAGUUAGUACAACUGUCCUGGGCUACCCUGCCAAACAGUCACUAAAUUAAUUAUUAAAUUAAAUUCAUGUAGGACUCAGUUAACCUGGAUAGAUGGUCAUCUUAUAUGGAACAUAUAUCUAUGUGGAACCCUUGUGUGAUUAUCACUUUAAAACCCACAUGCACUUACUGUAAAGACGAAAGACUGAAAAUGCAAACGAAAACCCCUUCUCGGGAUGUACUGGACACACACAAGACCCCCAGUGGGGCACAGCUGAAGGGGCUCCAGCCAUACUGUGUUCUCUGACCCUGCAAGUGCAUUCAUGAAUUCCAGAGUCUGCCCCUUGACCCCGCAGGUGCUUAUCGAAAAUACAUACUAUUAACAACAAAGAUGGAUGGGGAUGUAUGACUCAACUGGUAGUGUGCUUACCUAAAAUGCACAAAGCUCUGGGUUUGAUCCCAGCAUUGCAUCAACUGGGUGAGGUAGCAUAGACUUGUAACCCCAGCACCUGGAAGAUGGAGACAAGAGGAUCAGAAUUUCAAAGUCACCUUCAGGUACUUAGAGAGUUUGAGGUCAGUCUAAGCUACAUGAGACCCCAUCACAAGAGCAACUACCACCACCAUCACCACC